AGUGAACGCUGGCGGUAGGCCUAACACAUGCAAGUCGAACGGCAGCACAGUAAGAGCUUGCUCUUACGGGUGGCGAGUGGCGGACGGGUGAGGAAUACAUCGGAAUCUACUUUUUCGUGGGGGAUAACGUAGGGAAACUUACGCUAAUACCGCAUACGACCUACGGGUGAAAGCAGGGGAUCUUCGGACCUUGCGCGAUUGAAUGAGCCGAUGUCGGAUUAGCUGGUUGGCGGGGUAAAGGCCCACCAAGGCGACGAUCCGUAGCUGGUCUGAGAGGCUGAUCAGCCACACUGGAACUGAGACACGGUCCAGACGCCUACGGGAGGCAGCAGUGGGGAAUAUUGGACAAUGGGCGCAAGCCUGAUCCAGCCAUACCGCGUGGGUGAAGAAGGCCUUCGGGUUGUAAAGCCCUUUUGUUGGGAAAGAAAAGCAGCAGGUUAAUACCCCGCUGUUCUGACGGUACCCAAAGAAUAAGCACCGGCUAACUUCGUG
rnacentral:rRNA from 1 species